rnacentral:rRNA from 1 species
GGUUGAUCCUGCCAGUAGUCAUAUGCUUGUCUCAAAGAUUAAGCCAUGCAUGUCUAAGUAUAAGCCCUUGUACGGCGAAACUGCGAAUGGCUCAUUAAAACAGUUAUCGUUCAUUUGGUAAUCAUCUACUACAAGGAUAACUGUAGUAAUUCUAGAGCUAAUACUUGCGAAAACUCUGACUUCACGGAAGGAGUGGCAUUUAUUAGAUACAAACCAAUCGGAAGUUUACUUCCGUAUCUUGGUGAUUCAUAAUAACUAAGCGGAUCGCAUGGGUAACCCCGGCGAUAGGCCUU